AACGAACGUUAGCGGCGCGCCUAACACAUGCAAGUCGCACGAGAAAGGGCUUCGGCACCGGUACAGUGGCGCACGGGUGAGUAACACGUCGGUAACCUGCCCUUGAGCGGGGGAUAACAUUCCGAAAGGAGCGCUAAUACCGCAUAAGACCACGCUCUCGAAAGGGAGAGAGGUAAAAGCUGGCCCCUGGAUACACGCCAGCACUUGAGGAUGGGCCCGCGGAGCAUCAGCUAGUUGGUAGGGUAAUGGCCUACCAAGGCUAAGACGCGUAGCUGGUCUGAGAGGAUGAUCAGCCACACUGGGACUGAGACACGGCCCAGACUCCUACGGGAGGCAGCAGUGGGGAAUUUUGCACAAUGGGCGAAAGCCUGAUGCAGCAACGCCGCGUGUGUGAUGAAGGUCUUCGGAUUGUAAAGCACUUUCGACCGGGACGAACACCUGUUGGCCAACAUCCAACAGCCUGACGGUACCGGGAGAAGAAGCACCGGCUAACUCUGUGCCAGCAGCCGCUGUAACAC
rnacentral:rRNA from 1 species